AUUUGCGGGUAAAGGGAUAUUUAAAACCAAUAUCUUUCAUAUAUCCAAACAAUGCACUGCUCCUGCCUGCUUAGAAAUAACAAGACUAAGCUUACAACUGAUCCCAUAUGUGUACAUUGUGUAGAAGUAGCCACUCAAACAUCAUUUGAGACAAUAACCAACCAAGUUAAAUUAUAGAAUAUAUUACUAAUAUGCUAUCUUGUUAACCUGAAAAUUUUCUUCUUAGCAUCAAUUGAUUUAAUUUAUUCAGCUCCAACCAACCAAACAUCACUUGAUAUAAUCC